AAACAAUUAAGAGUUACCGAAGAGAGAACUUCUACAGCGCGCGACCACUUAGUGACAAGUACGCACUCUGCGUGGACUCAAGAGACUCAUGCUUGAGAUAAAAACGCCAAGACCACUUCGGAAAUAAGUGAAGCAAGAAAUUGGAGCACUGCAUGUUCUUUUCCAGCCUUCAUACCACCGAGUAUUUGACAAUCUAAGCAAUGAAUUUCAAGGAAGUCCUAAUAAUUGCAUGGAUUUGGUUCCCUGCUUUAUCAACUGCAUACGGAACAAAAAGAGAAACGUUUCUAGUCUGCAACUCGUCAACCUGUAUUGAAAGAGCCAAACUAUUAAAUGAAUCGCUUAACACCACCAUUGAUCCUUGCACGGACUUCUAUUCAUACGUUUGCGGCCCUUGGGAGAGCACUCAUCCUCUUCCAAGUGAUAGGGACAGCUAUGAUGUUUAUCAGGAGAUUGGUAAAGAUAUACCGCAAAAGCUAAGCUAUAUUCUUGGAAACAGAACCCUGAAUGAGUGUAACCAAACCAUAAUUGACAAGGUGACAAUCAUGUAUAACGCGUGUUUAGGUAAGUUGAGUUAUCAUGUGAAGGCCGAGCUCAUGAAUGCCUAAUUAUGUUGUUUUGCAUCAUCCAACUGAAAUAAUAAAUUGCCUUAAGACGGCACUCCCAAUAUACAGGGCUGGCUGCAUCGCACCACACUGCACUGAGGUCAAUGGUGUUAAUUCGCAAUAACUUUAUUAACCACUUCA